rnacentral:rRNA from 1 species
AUGCCUCCAGGGGGAGGAGGAGGAGCAACGGGCGAACAAAGAUUCGGGGAGCAGGACCUCCCACCGGCGACUGGCCACGGGUGCCGCGACGAGGGGCCCCCAUCCCGUUCGCCGUCGCCGCUGACGCCGUUGCUGCCUGGCCUGGCCGUCACCCCCGUCGCCUCUGAGAACAAGAUCAGGCGGGAGGAUGGGCAGCAGGGGGAGGAGGAGACCCCGGCGAGCUUCCCGGAGGACGUUCUCAUCGAGAUCCUGUCGCGGGUGCCCUACAUCUCGCUCUUCCACUUCAAGUGCGUGUCCAAACAAUGGCUCGCCCUCUGCUCUGCCCCCGACGUCCGCAAGAGGUCGCCGCAGACCUUGUCUGGCUUCUUCCACUUCAAUCUCGGGUGGCGUUUCCACAAUUUGUCCGGGAAAGAUCCUCCCAUCGUCGACUCCAAUCUCCGUUUCUUACGCGGCAGCUACAAAUUUUUCAGUAUCCAACAAUGCAGCACCAGCCUUCUCCUUUGCAAAUGUUGGAAAUCGUGCUAUCCUAGGCAACGCAGUUGGAAUUUCGUCCCGAAUCCAAAGCCCGGGCAAUGUUUCAAAUGGCCCGAGGCUAAGGAGUUUGAUUAUGUUGUCUGCAAUCCUGCUACUCAGCAGUGGACUGUGUUGCCUCCUAUAAAAUUGCCUGACGACCUUUCACGUUUCAGCCUAGACAAAUACUUCUUGAGCUUUGACCCGGCCACCCCGUCCCGCUUUGUGGUGUUUGUGCCCCUGGACACAUAUUAUGAAUAUGGCCUGUCCGCGGCCAUGAUCUACUCAUCGGAAACUGGAGGGUGGACUUCCAUGCAGAGUCAGCACAAUGAUAGCAGUGCAUAUUGGGUUAGUGAUUCAGAAAGCACCUUCCUAAAUGGCAUUAUGCAUUUCCCUACUCGAUCUUCGUCAAUAGUCACAGUGGACAUGAAAAGGAAUGCUUGGGGGGAAAUUGAAAUGCCACCUGGCAUGCCAAACAACUAUGGCGGUGCUUCCAUUGGGCAGUCACAGGGACGCCUGCAUGUUUGGGAACAGAAUCAAGAUGGUUGCCAACUCUCUAUUUGGGUUCUUGAGAAUUAUGAUAGUGGACAGUGGACCCUAAAGUGUACCAUUAACUGCUUUGAACUGUUUGGAAGGGAUUGUUGCAAAAACGAUGAGUACUACUCGAUGUUUGCAAUUCAUCCAGAAUGUGAUUUGAUUUUCCUUACUGACAAUAAGAAGGCAUUGUCAUAUGAUAUGGAUAAUCAGGAAGUGCAUGCUAUCUGUGCCACUGGAGAUUUCUUGGAAGGUCUACCUUACACUCCGUCUUUUGCGGAAUGGACAUCAGAUGGUCACUAA